CAGGAGUUCACUUCUCUUUGGUUUUGCAGGCGCCCUGCGGACAGCCUUUGGAAUUGGAUGAGCGUUUGAGGUGGCACGAGCGAUGACAGCCACAGUGUCCGAUGCUGGAAUUCCUGCGGAGCAGGUGAUGAAGAGGAACCUGGCAACUGCAGGAAUAUCCUGGUUUGGUGGUGCGGCUUCUGUUGAG